rnacentral:rRNA from 1 species
GUGCUGGGCGCAGCCUGAUCCAGCCAUGCCGCGUGCGGGAAGAAGGCCUUCGGGUUGUAAACCGCUUUUGUCAGGGAAGAAAAGGUUCUGGCUAAUACCUGGGACUCAUGACGGUACCUGAAGAAUAAGCACCGGCUAACUACGUGCCAGCAGCCGCGGUAAUACGUAGGGUGCAAGCGUUAAUCGGAAUUACUGGGCGUAAAGCGUGCGCAGGCGGUUAUGCAAGACAGAGGUGAAAUCCCCGGGCUCAACCUGGGAACUGCCUUUGUGACUGCAUGGCUAGAGUACGGUAGAGGGGGAUGGAAUUCCGCGUGUAGCAGUGAAAUGCGUAGAUAUGCGGAGGAACACCGAUGGCGAAGGCAAUCCCCUGGACCUGUACUGACGCUCAUGCACGAAAGCGUGGGGAGCAAACAGGAUUAGAUACCCUGGUAGUCCACGCCCUAAACGAUGUCAACUGGUUGUUGGGAGGGUUUCUUCUCAGUAACGUAGCUAACGCGUGAAGUUGACCGCCUGGGGAGUACGGCCGCAAGGUUGAAACUCAAAGAAAUUUGGACGGA